UACGUAAGUGGCAAGCGUUAUCCGGAAUUAUUGGGUGUAAAGGGUAUGUAGGCGGAAAUGUGUGUCAUUAGUAGAAGACUUAGGCUCAACCUAAGAAGUGCUAAUGAAACUGCAUAACUAGAGUAUGGGAGAGGAAAGCGGAAUUAUCAGUGUAGCGGUGAAAUGCAUAGAUAUUACAUAGAAUACCGAUUGCGAAGGCAGAUCACUAAUAAGAUACUGACGCUGAUGGACGAAAGCGUGGGUAGCGAACAGG
rnacentral:misc_RNA from 1 species